rnacentral:rRNA from 1 species
GACGAACGCUGGCGGCGUGCCUAAUACAUGCAAGUUGAGCGCUGAAGGUUGGUACUUGUACCAACUGGAUGAGCAGCGAACGGGUGAGUAACGCGUGGGGAAUCUGCCUUUGAGCGGGGGACAACAUUUGGAAACGAAUGCUAAUACCGCAUAAAAACUUUAAACACAAGUUUUAAGUUUGAAAGAUGCAAUUGCAUCACUCAAAGAUGAUCCCGCGUUGUAUUAGCUAGUUGGUGAGGUAAAGGCUCACCAAGGCGAUGAUACAUAGCCGACCUGAGAGGGUGAUCGGCCACAUUGGGACUGAGACACGGCCUAAACUCCUACGGGAGGCAGCAGUAGGGAAUCUUCGGCAAUGGACGAAAGUCUGACCGAGCAACGCCGCGUGAGUGAAGAAGGUUUUCGGAUCGUAAAACUCUGUUGGUAGAGAAGAACGUUGGUGAGAGUGGAAAGCUCAUCAAGUGACGGUAACUACCCAGAAAGGGACGGCUAACUACGUG